UGCCUGUUGAGUCCCCCAAACCUGUCACAGCAGUUAAUGAGCUUGGUUCAGGACAAGGGAGUUGUUCUCGCCAUGGGGAGAAGGCUGCGGAGAAGGCUGCACAUGAUAAUAUUGAAGCUGAGGUGAAGGGUGUGAAGAAGAAGUUGGUUUUAAGAGAUGAAGUGAGCAUCGAGGUUGAAGAGGAAAUUGUGCAGCCCAGUGAUGAGAGGGUACGGUUAAACCCGAUAUUAGAAGAGGAGGUUAGAGAAGAUGUCAUUGUACUAGAGGCACCAGUACAUGGUGAAGAGGAACAAUUAGGUGAGACCAAGUAUAAACUGGCCAUUGACACGGUGGAAAACAUUGUGGCUAUUGGAACUGUCAUCAGUAUCGACCUUGAGACCAAACAGCAAACAAUCCAUGGUGUUCCACUUGGAGAGGAGAAUUUGCGUGUCUCUAUCAC
rnacentral:lncRNA from 1 species